GACGAACGCUGGCGGCAGGCCUAACACAUGCAAGUCGAACGAGUGGCGGACGGGUGAGUAAUGUCUGGGAAACUGCCCGAUGGAGGGGGAUAACUACUGGAAACGGUAGCUAAUACCGCAUACCAUCGGAUGUGCCCAGAUGGGAUUAGCUAGUAGGUGGGGUAACGGCGAACCUAGGCGACGAUCCCUAGCUGGUCUGAGAGGAUGACCAGCCACACUGGAGCUGAGACACUGUCCAGACUCCUACGGGAGGCAGCAGUGUGGAAUAUUGCCCAAUGGGCUCAAGCCUGGUGCAGCCAUGCCGCGUGUAUGAAGAAGGCCUUCGGGUUGUAAAGUACUUUCAGCGAGGAGGCGUUACUCGCAGAAGAAGCACCGGCUAACUCCGUGCCAGCAGCCGCGGUAAUAC
rnacentral:rRNA from 1 species